GACGAACGCUGGCGGCGUGCUUAACACAUGCAAGUCGAACGGAAAGGCCCUGCUUUUGUGGGGUGCUCGAGUGGCGAACGGGUGAGUAACACGUGAGUAACCUGCCCUUGACUUUGGGAUAACUUCAGGAAACUGGGGCUAAUACCGGAUAGGAGCUCCUGCUGCAUGGUGGGGGUUGGAAAGUUUCGGCGGUUGGGGAUGGACUCGCGGCUUAUCAGCUUGUUGGUGGGGUAGUGGCUUACCAAGGCUUUGACGGGUAGCCGGCCUGAGAGGGUGACCGGCCACAAUGGGACUGAGAUACGGACCAGACUCCUACGGGAGGCAGCAGUGGGGAAUAUUGCACAAUGGGCGGAAGCCUGAUGCAGCAACGCCGCGUGUGGGAUGACGGCCUUCGGGUUGUAAACCGCUUUCGCCUGUGACGAAGCGUGAGUGACGGUAAUGGGUAAAGAAGCACCGGCUAACUACGUG
rnacentral:rRNA from 1 species